rnacentral:rRNA from 1 species
UACGGGGGGGCAAGCGUUGUUCGGAAUUACUGGGCGUAAAGGGCUCGUAGGCGGCCAACUAAGUCGGAUGUGAAAUCCCCAGGCUCAACCUGGGAACUGCAUCCGAUACUGGAUGGCUUGAAUUCGGGAGAGGGAUGCAGAAUUCCAGGUGUAGCGGUGAAAUGCGUAGAUAUCUGGAGGAAUACCGGUGGCGAAGGCGGCAUCCUGGACCGACAUUGACGCUGAUGAGCGAAAGCUAGGGGAGCAAACGGG